rnacentral:rRNA from 1 species
UACGAAGGGGGGCUAGCGUUGCUCGGAAUCACUGGGCGUAAAGCGCACGUAGGCGGAUUGCUAAGUCAGGGGUGAAAUCCUGGAGCUCAACUCCAGAACUGCCUUUGAUACUGGCGAUCUCGAGUCCGGGAGAGGUGAGUGGAACUGCGAGUGUAGAGGUGAAAUUCGUAGAUAUUCGCAAGAACACCGGUGGCGAAGGCGGGUCUCUGGGCCGGAUACUGACGCUGAGGAGCGAAAGCGUGGGGAGCGAACAGG